CCUCUUACUCUUUUCGCUGCGUCGCUCUCUGCCCUCCUCUCAAAUCCCAAUCUUUGUUGUUGGAGCGAUCCGAGCCGCAAUUAUGUUGGUUUACCAAGACCUCCUCACCGGUACAAUUUUUUCCCUAAUCUUGUCCUGCUCAUAUUCAAAUUAGGGUUUGUUUUUCUUUUUUUCGGUUCCAAAAUUAGGGUUUCGAUUCGUUAGUUCUAAUCUGUUUGAAAAAAAAAAUAUGAAGUUGGAUCUCUGUUUAAUCUCCAAAUUUUAUGUUAUGGUACGGAUCUGGCGCCAAAUUGUUGCUUUCCCGCCGUGUAAAUUGUUUUACAAAUCCUUCGAUUACAAAAAAUCUAAUUUAUAUUGCUCGGUGAUUUAUGAUUAUCGAACUCUUUCUGUAUUUAUUUUAUGUAACUGGGUACUGGGUACGCAUGUUAAUUAUACUGUGCGAAGCUUUUGAAUUUUAUGUUAAACUUGCUAAUUUAUAAUUUUGAUAUGUUGUUAGGAUAGUCGUGUAAUUAGAAAAUAUUGGAAUUGGAUAUAUCUGUGGAUAUGGUGGAUAUUGUGACGCAAUUUUUAAACUAAUUGUGUAAACUACUUGAACAGUUGAACUUAGAAAAGAUUAUAGAUUUGUUUAUGAUGUCUGCUGGAUCUGUUAUUUUUUUUGUUUUCUUCUUUUUUUUUUUUAAUUUUUUUAAAUUUUAAAUAUGAUGUUCUUGUUUUCUUUAACUAAUAUAUUUAGUUGAUUUUCUUUUAUCAAGUUGUUGACCAAAUUCAUGCUUCUAUUAUAGGCGAUGAGCUUCUCUCGGACUCGUUUCCAUACAGGGAAAUCCACAAUGGAGUGCUCUGGGAAGUUGAUGGCAAGGUGAGUUGGUCGAUUCUUUGGUUUUUUUAUUUUCGUUCCACACUUGUUGAACUGUAUAGGGAAAAUGCUUUGUUGUUGUUGUUGUUGUACUUGUUGAACUGUCUUUGUAAUUUUAUUAUAAGUUUAACCGCUCGUUAGAAAUAUUUAGCUGUGUUUGCAAUGUAAUUUGAAGGUCAAAUGUAUAAGUUUAAGCUUUUUCCUGCGGGGUGUAGUCAAGGUGGUUGUUAUUGAACUUUGUGGUUAUAGGUUUAUUUUGAUAUGGAUCACCUGUAUAAGGUUAAUAUGUUGAUUGUUAUGAAUUGCGUAGUUGAUUAACUGUAAGUUGUUUGAAUGAUUUUUGGUUCGCAGUGGGUUGUUCAAGGAGCUGUUGAUGUAGACAUUGGUGCAAAUCCAUCUGCUGAAGGUGGAGGUGAGGAUGAGGGUGUUGAUGAUCAAGCCGUCAAGGUUGUUGACAUUGUUGACACAUUUAGACUUCAGGUAUGUGGUGCUUACUGUACUGUUGCUCUCCAAGGUUCUUUGUGAGUAGAAAUUGAUUGUUAUUGUCUGAUGCUUGCAGGAGCAACCUCCAUACGACAAGAAGCAGUUUGUCACAUGGGUGAAGAGGUAUAUCAAACUGUUGACACCCAAGUUGGAGGGGGAGAGCCAAGAGGUGUUCAAGAAGAACAUUGAGGCAGCAACCAAGUUUCUGCUUGGGAAGCUCAGCGACCUCCAAUUGUAAGUUUUGUUGAUACUGCGCCCAUGGUGAUUGAUUGUUCCGUAAUCAUAAACUAAUGUCGUGAUCCUAUCAGUUGGGGGUUCACUCGUUUCUAUGUUACUCAAUGAUAUUAACAUUGAAUCGGAUGUUGUUUGCAGCUUUGUUGGGGAGAGCAUGCAUGAUGAUGGCGGUUUGGUCUUUGCGUACUACAAGGAGGGCGCGACCGACCCAACAUUUAUCUACUUUGGUCAUGGUUUGAAGGAGGUCAAGUGCUAAGCAAUUGGCCGAGAGAGUUCCAAGCAGAAUGCAUGUUGUAAUCCUAGUCUAUAUUAUUGCUUUCUUUACUUUUUAUGUUUAGAAUUGGAGGAUGAGGAGUCUAUUUUUGCUUUGUUUCGUUAGAAUAUUGCGCGUUUGUUGACUUGGAUUUAUGCCUAUCUUGGUUUUAAUGGCUUUUCAACUUGGAUUUCUAAUUUAUGUGGUUCUAAAUUUUGAUUGCGAAAUAACAUUGUGUUCUACAUUUUACCGCCUUCAAGUCGCUUUCGUAUGCCGUCAAACAGUUGAAGGUGUGAAUAGUUGGAACUGGUAAUAGUUCUAGUUCAUCUUUCAAUUUCACCAACAAAUCUAAAUAUGUCCCCUUUUCUUCACGCAUUUUCCGGAGUUCUGGAGAGAGCCGCAAUCAAUAGGAUUUUCUUAAUCUUCCCUUCCCGAAAGAAAGAAUGUGAGAUUUCUUUCUUUUUUCUGCAGGAACCACAAGAUUGGAUCUAGCUGUAAGAAGAAUGUUUGGCUAAUGAAUGAGUACUGAGCUUGUUUGUCCUUGUCAAACCUGGGAUUUUACUGUAAUUUGAAUGCCUCCGGUAGUUUGGAAUAUUCCGAGGAUACGGUCCUCGGUUACAAAUAUACCAUCUAACGGUCCUUGUUUGCGAAUAGGUUUUUUUAGCCAAAAUAGUCAGAUUUGCAUAACACAUUACUUUGGUCUUUGAGAUUGAAAAUCAAUAUAAAUGGUUCUGAGAUUGUCCAUCAUCUAUUAUUUUGGUCAUUUCGUUAAAAACUCCAUUAAGUGUCCCGGAGCUCUUGGCCGAAAAUUUGGGCAAUUUUCAAAGCUUCGUAACUCAAUAGUUUCUUAAUCAAAUUCGGCCCAUAAUAUAUCAAAAUGAAGAUAGGAAAGUGUAGAACAAGAUUAUACCUAUUUGGAAGCCCAAUGGUUGCCGGAGAUGGCAGGAAAAUAGCCUAAAAGGUGACUGGUGGUCUGUGGAAAAACUGGAAAACUCGUCGGAAAUUGAACAAACUUUAAAUGUUCAUAACUUCCUCAAUGCUCAACGAAAUUGAGUGAUUCAAAAAUGAAAAUCGAGUGAUUCAAAAACGAAAAUCAUACUUCUUGACGAGACGAAGAGAAUGGUACCUUUUUUGACGACUAAUUCGCUGUGGUUUGGCCGGAAAAUGGCUCGAAAGUGGCUAACUAGAGACCAAGACAGCCACUUUCGAGCCAUUUUCCAGCCAAAUCACAGAGAUUUAGCCUUUGAGAAAUGUAUCAUUCUCUUCGUCUCGUCAAGAAGUAUGAUUUUCGUUUUUGAAUCACUCGAUUUCAUUGAUUAUUGAAGAAGUUAUGAACGUUUAAAGUUUACCUAGUUUCUGGCGAGUUUCCCAGUUUUCCCGCGGACGAGUCACCUUUCAGACUAUUUUUUGGCCAUCUCCGGCAACUAUUGGGCUUCCAAAUAGGUAUAAUAUUGUUCUACACUUUCCUAUCUUCAUUUUGAUAUAUUAUGAGUCGAAUUUAGUUUAAAAACAAUUGAGUUACGAAUAUUUGAAAAUUGCCCAAACUUUCGGUCAAAAGUUUCGGAACAUUUAACGGAAUGACCAAAAUAAUGGAUGACAAUCUGUGGACAAUCUCAGGGACCAAAGUGAUGUGUUAUGCAAAUCUCAGGGACCAUUUUGGCUAAAAAGCCUUACAAAUAUAGCAUCUGACUUUGGACUGAGAAACUCUAGCAUUAUGGUUAAUAAUAUUCAUCUCCAUCAAGAAUUUAUAGAUUUUAUGUUCGACUCUCUUGGAAAAUUCCCACUAUCGUUGCCUAGUGAUCUUCUUAUUUACUUGUGAGUAAACAAAUCUUAAGUUUGAAUGUCAUAAAUGAUAAGUUUGUAAUCAAUUUAUUCUCUCCACCCUCUUAAUGUAAAUACUAAAUAUAUUUUGUAUUUAAUUUAAUUUAAUUGCGUAAUGUUACCUCAUAGUGAUGUGCUUAGAUUUAUUUGUUAAAUCCGUUUGAGAACCGUAGUAGCAUGAAAUUAUGAAAAAUAUGUCAUGUUUUGGAUCACAGAAGUUGAUAUAGAUUGGGAAAGAAAAUCGCAUAUACAAAAUUCAAUAGUAGCCAAAUAGUUUAGUGCUUGACAAGUCUCUUCACCAUCAUCGAAGAGCAAUUUGCAUGGUGAGCACAAUAGUUGCUUACAUUUCUCAUAAUUAUCCUCCAAAUACAUAUUUGAAUUUUGUCACAUAUUAAUUAACAUAUUUUUUAUUCGAGAUUAUAGGAAUGCGAAGAUCAAUCGCACACAAGAACGUGAGUUUAUUACGACCAUUUUAGUUUUGUGGACUCUACAAAACAUGAAUGACUAAAUUAGCUCAUUGACAAGUGUAUACGAUUGUUCAUAACACGUGGAAUAGCUGGCUAACACGUGGAGUGGUUUCAAUAUGUCGGAUGGUGAUUGGUUGGUUGAUGUUUGGAUUUGUAGGCUUGGUGUGGUUUUAGACAUGUUUGAACAUUUUAAAGUUGCAUUGAUGAUGAGUCGGCCAAGGAUAAUAUGACGGUCGUGAUUCAAUUUUUGAUGCACUUUAGAAAAUACAUUGAAUUUUUAUUUAAAAAAUUACGCAUGCAUGUGAGCGUUACGGUAGUAUAGUGCGUUUCACGCAAUUGUUAUCAAAGUCAUGAUAUUAAAUGCGGGAAGAUAUUAUUCGCUUAACCGUUGACGUCUGUCUGUCAAUAUGUGAACAUUGUGUUGGCUUUAUUUGCAUCGUCGUGAAAUUUAUGUGACAAUUAAAGUUGUUGAUGCACAAAACAGGAGGUCUUGGAACAACGUAAAUUCGACCGUGAAUCUGCAUGAAAUGUAAAUAACACAGGAUGUAUUGUGGUUCACCCCAAGGUUUGGGCUACGUCCACACUGAUUAUAUAUUUAUUUGAGGGGUGAGGGAGAGAACCUCUGAAUAUGAGAGGGGAUGUGAGAGGGGUGAAAAGGCUUCAGAAAUGGUCUCCCCUAAUUGUGAGGGUGAGGGGUCCUUUUAUAGAAUAAGGACUCCUCACUCAUCACAUAUUUGCCCUUUCCUUUAUCACAUAAUUACAUUUAAGUCCCCCGAGUAUUUGUACGAGAUCUAAAUACGAGGCCUUAAAUAUGGUAUAAACAGUAAUCCCCCAAGUCUUCAGUCAAGAGAGUCUUUUGGUUUGAGACUUGAAAUUCAGUCCAUGUGUGGGCCGAAGUAACUAGAUGUUAUCUUGAACUGAUGCUCGAUAUGAGGCGGUACUCAAUCUGAAAUGAUGCUCAACUAAUCUGAAAUGAUGCUCAACUAGAAGUAGUACAUGCUGCGAGGCUGCUCGACUCGUGGCUUAUGUUGCUUUGGUUGGCUUGGCUUGUGGCGUUGAAGGUGAUGGAGUCCCUUUUAUAGAAUAUGGGCUCGCUCCUCAAUACAUAAGUGAUGGGUUAGGAGUGAUGCUCGCGGCGAGGCGGUUGCUCAGCUGGCGGCGUUGCUUUCUAACGAAGGUGAGGGAGUCCCUUUUAUAGAAUAAGGGCUCGCUCCUCAAUACAUAAGUGAUGGGCUAGGAGUGAUGCUUGCGGCGAUGCGGUUGCUCAGCUGGCGGCGUUGCUCUCUAAUGAAGGUGAGGGAGUCCCUUUUAUAAAAUAAGGGUUUGCUCCUCAGUACAUGAAUAAUGGGUGCUCUCUAAUGAAAGUGAGAGAGUCUCUUUUAUAGAAUAAGGGCUCACUCCUCAGUACAUGAAUAAUGGCCUAAGUCCCCUAAGUAAUUUUCAUGAGGCCCAAUAUAUGGUACAUGAUGUAGUCCCCCAAGUCUUCAGUCAAUAGAGUCUGUUGGCUGGAGACUUCAAAUUGAAUCUAUGUAUGGGCUGAAAUGGCGGUUGUUCGGAAGCGGUAUUUGUAUACCCUGUACUGAAGUUUUGUAGGUGAAGCUUUGCAAGUGAAGCUUUGAAGCUAGAGCUCUGUGAAUGAAGCUUUCGAAGCUGGAGCUUUUGAAGCUAGAGCUCUGUAAAUGAAGCUUUUGAAGCUAGAGCUCUGUAAAUGAAGCUUUUGAAGUUAGAUUGACAUGAGUAAUGCUCAUGAAUGUUUAUGUUGAUUGACAUGAGUGAUGCUCAUAGAUGUUGUCAUGAGUGAUGCUCAUGAAUGUUAACAUGAGUGAUGCUCAUGAAUGUUGACACGAAUGAUGGUUAUGAAUGUUUAUGUAUGAUUGUCAUGCGUGAUGCUCAUGAAUGUUUAUGUAUGAAUGACAUGAGUAAUGCUCAUGUAUAAUUUGGAGUAUUGGGCGUACUUUUGAUCACCUGGUUGGUGGCAUGAAGAAGAGUACAGGUUGUACAUUUCAUCACUUGGUUGGUGGUAAUAGCGGCAGGUUGCAGAAUAAUUUUGAAGUACUGGGCAUACUUCAGAUCACCUGGUUGGCGAUAAUAGCGGCAUGUUGCCGAAUAAUUGUGAAGUACUGGGCGUACUUUUGGUCACCUGGUUGGUGAUAAUAGAGGGUCUGGCUCUUUUUGGCAUAUGAGCCUUCGCCCUCCACACGACAUUGCAGCCUAUUAUUUUGGGCUUACCGUGUUUUUUUUAAUACCCUAUGAUGGGGUUUAUACAGAUAUCUCUAAAACAUAAGAAAAAUAAAUUACAUCAUUAAAAAAUAAUGGUUUCGACAGUUGCAGAUCGUUGGUGCGUACUGCGCCUACUGCGUACUGGGUUGCUUCUGUUGGUAGCGUUCGUUGGCUUGGAUGGUUUUUGAGAGACUGGGAGUAACAGCUGCUGUCAGAUCUGAAUUCGAAUGACCUGGCUUGUUGGCCCAUCAUCACCAUGGUUAUGGACUGCACCACCCCACUACGCAUCACAUUAAUAUUAUAUGUUUUUGCUUUUGUUUCCUUUUCCACCGCACAUCUCUCUUUUACUGCAUUUAUUAUUCUGUUGCUGAGGUCCAGGUGCAUUAGCCUUUGUAGAUGGCAGACAAAAGUAAAGUGAAGUUCUCUUUACUUUGCUUUACUUUGCAGAUUGCAGAUGACACUCAAGUUCUCUGUUUUUACUUUGUAGAUUGCAGAUGGCACUCUGGUUCCCUGCUUUUACUUUGUAGAUUGCAGAUGGCAUGUGAGGAAAGCCUCCCUUUUCUUUUCCUAGCGUUCCGUGGUCCACGAGUCCACAACAUGUGAUCUAUACGAAAAACACUUGAACAACAUCAGAGCUCGGCGAUAGGAGUCUCAAAGAUGGCUUGCUCAGCUUUCUGCACCUCCUUCUCGAUCUUCCUUCCCUUAUUGGAUUUGUAGUACACACUCAUGAAUGUUCCCAAAGCUUGAGUCCUCUCAGCCUGUUCUUUCAAAAGCUGCUCGUUACCUACCAAGAAGAACAAAAAUGCACCAACCCCGUAACCAGUUGCGAUGUUUGACUCCUAGACACAAUAGUUAUAAUUUAACCCAGUGUCUUGAACGACAUUCGCAGAGCUUCUCUUCUGCUCAGUCACUCUCCAGACAUCUCAUCUCUCUCUAUCUCUCUCACUGAGUUGCCACUAGCUACACCAAAUCGCAGCCAAACGACGACACCCACGAAUUCGAAUGAGAAAAGUCAAGCAAAAAAGAUCGAGAAUUUCCUUUCACUGUUAGGAAACGAUUCAAGAAUUCAAUUCUCCAGCGUUGUAGUGCAAAAGCUCGUGGCUAGAUUUUCCCGAGAAAAAAAGAGGGAAAGAUUUUGCCGAGAAAAUUUAGGCAGUGUGCUGUCGAUUGAGCAGGAACGCGGAGACCCCUACCGAUAGAUGGUUGUUCAGAUGGAACAACUUCUUAGAACUAGCCGUGAAUGCCAGCGCGUGCCAAUCUCGAGUUCCCUAUCCAUUUCUCUAGUGCGAGCAGCAGCUGAGCAAACAAUCGUGUCGAAGCGGCAGGAGAUGGCGUACUGACGGUCGAGGUGUUCAAAAGGGAAACUGCUCGAAUCCGUCUUUGGCGUUCCGCCACGCGUCCUUCCCGAAGCUUCCGAUGUCGCUACGCUGGAACGCCUGGAUGUUCGGCACCUGGCAGUGGCGGUGAUGGUAAUAGCCUUCUGAGGAUUGAGAUCAUGGGUCGCGCUUCUUGCGAUUGAGAUUGUAGCGGUGCCAUUCUGACUUGUAAUGGAGCUUCUGCUCUGAGUCGUCCAGAAACUCCUUGUUGCAAGAGUUGCAUGUUAGCCCUCACAUUUUCUCUCUCUCUAGCUUUCUCUGAGUCUGUGCUACUUUAAUCUAUUGUUCACCGACUUGUAAAACUUUGUUAAUGAAAGCAAAAGAUUUUCUUAUAUAACACUCUGCAGAGGGCACAGAGAGAUAGAGAUAUGAGUGAUUGUGUUUCCAUUGCUGCCGCCGUGAUCAGGAGCUGAAGCGGGAAACAUGGGUUUUGCAGUGAUUGUGCAGAUUCACGGUGGAGGUGAAAAAAUGAAAAAAAAAUCGACACAACUUUUCGUAUCGUUUCCCACAGACGGCGCCAAAUGUUGAUGCACAAAACCGAAGGUCUUAGUACAACGUAAAUCCGACCGUGAAUCUGCAUGAAAUGUAAAUAACACAAGAUGUAUCGUGGUUCACCCCAAGGUUUGGGCUACGUCCACACUGAUUAUGUAUUUAUCUGAAUGAGAGAGAGCUCUAAGAGUGAGAGCUUUGAGAGAGGAUGAGAGGGCCUAGGAAUUGGCCUCUUCUAAUUGUGAGGGUAAGGGGUCCUUUUAUAGAAUAAAGACUUCUCACUUAUUACAUAUUUGACCUUCCUUUAUCACAUAAUUACAUUUAAGUCUCCCGAGUAUUUGUACGAGAUCUAAAUACGAGGCCCUAAAUAUGGUAUAAACAGUAGUCUCCCAAGUCUUCAGUCAAAAGAGUAUUUUAGCUGGAGACUUGAAAUUCAGUCCAUGUGUGGGCCAAAGUAACUAGAUGUUGUCUUGAACUGAUGCUCGAUAUGAGGCGAUGCUCAAUUUGAAAUGAUGCUCAACUAGAAGUAGCACAUGCUGCGAGGCUGCGAGGCUCGUGGCUUAUGUUGCCUUGGUUGGCUCGGCUUGUGACGUUGAAGGUAAGGGAAUCCCUUUUAUAAAAUAAGGGCUCGCUCCUUAAUACAUGAACGAUGGGUUAGAGUUGAUACUCUCUAAUGAUGGUGAGGGAGUCCCUUUUAUAGAAUAAGGGCUCACUCCUCAAUACAUAAAUAUGGGCUAGAGUUGAUGCUCUCUAAUAGUGGUGAGGGAGUCCCUUUAUAGAAUAAGGGCUCGCUCCUCAAUACAUAAAUAUGAGCUAGAGUUGAUGCUCUCUAAUGGUGGUGAGGGAGUCCCUUUUAUAGAAUAAUGGAUCGCUCCUCAAUACAUGAAUGAUGGGCUAGAGUCCCCCAAGUAUUUUUCAUGAGGCCCAGUGGAGGCCCAAUAUAUGGUAUAUAAUGUAGUCUCCCAAGUUUUCGGUCAAUAGAGUGUUGGCUGGAAACUUCAAAUUGAAUCCAUGUAUGGGCCGAAAUGGCGGUUGUUCGGAGGUGGUAUUUGUAUACCCUGCACUGAAGCUUUGUAGGUAAAGCUUUGCAAGUGAAGCUUUGAAGCUAGAGCUCUGUAAAUGAAGCUUUUGAAGCUAGAGCUUUGUAAAUGAAGCUUUUGAAGCUAGAGCUCUCUAAAUAAAGCUUUUGAAGCUAGAACUUUUGUAAAUGAAGAUUUUGAAGCUGAUUGACAUGAGUGAUGCUCAUGGAUGUUGACAUGAGUGAUGCUCAUGAAUGUUGACAUGAGUGAUGCUCAUGAAUGUUUAUGUAUAAAUGACAUGAGUAAUGCUCAUGUAUAAUUUGGAGUACUGGGCGUACUUUUGAUCACCUGGUUGGUGGCAUGAAGGAGAGUACGGGUUGUACAUUUCAUCACCUGGUUGGUGGCAUGAAUGGCUAGUUGCCAAAUGAUAUUAGAGUACGGGUUGUAUAUUUCAUCACCUGGUUAGUGGUAAUAGCGGCGGGUUGCUGAAUAAUUUUGGAGUACUGAGCGUACUUUUGAUCACCUAGUUGGUGGUAAUAGCGGCGGGUUGCCGAAUAAUUUUGGAGUACUGGGCGUACUUUUGAUCACCUGGUUGGUGGUAAUAGCGGCGGGUUGCCGAAUAAUUUUGGAGUACUGGGUGUACUUUUAAUCACCUGGUUGGCGAUAAUAGCGGCGGAGUGCCGAAUAAUUUUUUGUAGUACUUAGCGUACGUUUGGUCACCUGGUUGGUGAUAUUUUGGGCUUAUAGGCCUUCGCCCUCCACACAACAUUCCAGCCAAUUUAUUUUGGGCUUGCCGUUUUUUUUUACCCUCUGAUGGGGUUUAUACAGAUGUCUCCGAAAAAUAAGAAAAAUAAAUUACAUCAUUCAAAACAAAGGUUUUGACAGUUGCAGAUCGUUGGUGCGUACUGCACCUACUGCGUACUGGGUUAUUGCAGAUCUUUUUCCAUGUGCAUAUUCCAGUGGCUUCUUCAGAAAAGUGGGAACAUGCAUGAUGAAAGUUUUAUUUUUCAAAAGUUGAUGGCAUCUUCUGAUGGCUUGCCUUUACCGCACCCAUUUUUUCCGGGAAGUUCAUCCAUAAACCUGUGCAGCCUAGUCAUGAUAUCUCUUUAUCCUCCUCAUUUUUCUUUUUCUAUUCUUUUCCUCCCCUUUUCUUUUUCUAACAUUAUGAUUGAUUCCAACCCAUAGGCUUGCCAGGCGACAGUGAGCACAAUCAUAACCGAAAACAGCCACUGAAUGACACUAUUCUGUCUCUAUACCUUUUUCUUUUCAUUUCUUCCCUUUUCCCUUUUCUGAAAUAUUCUCUCAACAACUAGUACAUCAUACAUUUAGCCCAUCUUCCUUUUUCUUUUUCUAACAUCAUGAUUGAUUCCAAACUUUCAAUUCUUUUCCAAUGGAUUGUUGUCGGAGACGACACAUUUCCAAGCAAUUUCUCAUCGCCCUCACAGCAAUGGAUGAACCUCUACUUUCAUCAGGGAGAAGCAGCAAAUUGGGAGAGAAGGGGAGUGAGAAAUGGAGCUCGUACGAGUACGUGGGAAGAGCUGGGUCGGUGAUUCCGAUAGCGGCGCUAGUUGGGACUGAUGAUUCUGAUCGAGAGGCGGCUGCUGAUUGCUACCCGUCUUCUAUCCAUGUUGGUCUGGUUAGUGGUAUGAACACUGCGAGUUUCCGCCUUCAUCAAUACGUCCUUCAGAUUGGGGGGGCGAGGUGAUGCGAGCCUCUAUCAACGAACGCGACCCAUGAUUCACAAAAGUUGAAAUGGGGUCUCGACCCAUGAGCAGGUAAUAAGGUCUUAACCCAGAAGCUGAAAUGGGGUCUCGACCCAGGAGCAACAAUCAGAAAUAUGGUCAACCCCAAUUAUCUUACAUAUGGUCCAAAAACGAUCCUCCCCUGAAGGAAAAAAAUAUAUAUAUUGCUGCCCUUCCAAUUCUGGUGUGCUCGAUCUCCCACUGCUCCGGUUCAAACCACUGGGUUCAUCAUCCUUGACUUCCCACUGGGUGUAAUCAGGGGUUAGGUGCAAGGACAACAGCUGGAUGCGACGGCUGACGGCUUGGGAUUCGUCCUCCACCGUUGGAUCUGGGCUUUGCCUCUUCUUUUGAUUGAUCUCGUAGACACAGAUUAGGAAGAGGUUAGGUGGUUUCAUGGGGAAGAAAGAUUUGAACAAUUGGAAUUGGGAUGAUCUUCUGGUUAGACUGUUUUUUGUACGGACGCGACCCAUGAUGGUGGAUUUGCGCGGAAGAGAUGGCAGGCGACGGCGUUGGUAUAUGCGUCUAUGCAUGAUGAGAGGGUUCAUCAUCCUUGAUUGGGAAUGGUGUGAUGACGAGCUUGUUGUCAGUUUUGGACCCCGAAUGAAAGUCGGAGCUUCAAGACGAAAUCUGCGUCUUUAUCCACUAAAACACUUGUACCCAUCUGGCGACGCUGUCUGUGCCACCUCGUCGUUGAGUGGAAGCGGGAAGGUAUGCACUUGUUGUGCUCUUCACCGGGAAGAGGUCGUUUUGGGCUCUGAUUCGAGGGCCGUAAGCGCGCUGCACUUUGAACGGCGAGACGGAGAAGACGACGACGACGGCCGUACUAGAACGGCAGACGGGCGUGUCGAUGAUUGAGCAACUGGUUCCGGAGAUUACAACGCAUGCCCUUAGCUAUCUGGACUACCCGAGCCUAUAUAAGCUUUCGAUGACCAAUUCGCUUACGUGGAAGGUCGCCAAUGACGAUAAUGCUUGGAUGGCACUUUACCAUAAAGUAUGUGAUUACUGAAUUUGAAUUGCAUUUGAAGUAUUUGAAUUUGGGUGUUUGUUGGAUUUUGAUUUUUGGUUUUUGCAGAUUCACGGUGGAGGUGAAAAAAUGAAAGGAAACUGACACAACUUUUCGUAUCGUUUCCCACAGAUGGCGCCAAAUGUUGAUGCACAAAACCAGAGGUCUUGGAACAACGUAAAUCCGACCGUGAAUCUGCAUGAAAUGUAAAUAACACAAGAUGUAUCGUGGUUCAUCCCAAGGUUUGGGCUACGUCCACAGUGAUUAUGUAUUUAUUUGAGGGGUGAGGGAGAGAACCUCUGAAUAUGAAAGGGGAUGUGAGAGAGGUGAGAAGGCUUCAGAAAUGGUCUCCCCUAAUUGUGAGGGUGAGGGGUCCUUUUAUAGAAUAAGGACUCCUCACUCAUUACAUAUUUGCCCCUUGCUUAAUCACAUAAUUACAUUUAAGUCCCCCGAGUAUUUGUACGAGAUCUAAAUACGAGACCCUAAAUAUGGUAUAAACAAAAGUCGUAUAAUGGAAUUUCCUUGUUUGUCUUGCGCAAUUGAAAAAGGAUAAGGAAUUUGGUUGUAAAAAAUUUAAAAUUAUAAUUGCGGUCAAUUUUCGUUGUUGAUAUUCAAUUUCAACAAAGGCGCGACUGAAUGACUUGAAUAACCUCAAAAGAAAAAAAAGGAAGAACAUGUAACAAUUUUGACACAACCUAACCCAAAUUACACGCAUACAUUUGCGUGAAAAGUUAAGCAAAUCUCAACACUUGAGCGACUGAGUACUUAAGGCUGAAUUAACUCUAACAAGGAAGUAAAUAAGGAUAAAAGAAAAAUAUAAGGACAAACAUGAUAUAUUUAGGAAAUGGUUGAGAACCCCUGUAUGUAGAUAAAUGUGCAAACUAUUCCAAAAAAAAAAGAAAGAUUUUUGUUCAAAUUAGUAGAUAAUGCUCCUUAACAAAAAAAAAAAGUAGAUAAUGUCCUAAUUAAAUUUGAAUUAAUUGGGCCCGGUUUUAUUACAAUUCAACAGGCCUUUUUAGGCCCAAAUGAAGAGUAGAAACUCCUAACAAAACUACAACUAGUCCGACCCAACCAUCCAAAAAACCUCGUUCUACUCGGACUUGGAAACGAAUAUCACCAAUGGCUUAGAAGAAAUUUUACAGAAACGCGAGUACAUUCCCGUAAUUUCCCAGUUGCCCACCAUCCUGCCAUCUCCGUGUUCUUCCCAAACCCUCGCCUCACCUAUAUAUAUCGGUUACCAGGGAAUUCUCAAACCCUCACUCCUUUGCUGCGUCGCUCUCUGCGCUCCUCCCAAAUCCUAAUCUUUGUUGUUGGAGCGAUCCGAGCCGCAAUUAUGUUGGUUUACCAAGACCUCCUCACCGGUAAAAGUUUUUUCCCUAAUCUUGUCCCGCUUAUGUUCAAAUUAGGGUUUCGAUUCGUUAGUUCUAAUCUAUGUGAAAAAAAAAAUCGAAUUGGAUCUCGGUUUAAUCUCCAAAUUUUAGGUUAUGGUACGGAUCGGGCGCCAAAUUGUUGCUUUCCCGCCGUGUAAAUUGUUUUGCAGAUCCUUCGAUUUAUUGCUGCGCUAAUUGUUUUGAUUUAUUUAGUGGUGAUUGUGUGCAUGUAAUUUGUUUGUGGGUGCUUUUGCAUGUUGUUUAUAAUUUAUGAAGCCACUGGAUUUCAUCUGAAUGAUUACAAAAAAUCUAAUUUAUAUUGUGAUUUAUGGUUAUCGAACUCUUUCUGUAUUUAUUUUAUGUAAUUUGGUACUGGGUACGCAUAUUAAUUAUAUUGUGCGAAGCUUUGGAAUUUUAUGUUAGACUUGCUAAUUUAUAAUUUUGAUAUGUUGUUGGAAUGGUCGUGUAAUUAGAAAAUAUUGGGAUUGGAUAUAUCUUUGGAUAUGGUGGAUAUUGUGACGCAAUUUUUAAACUUAUUGUGUAAACUACUUGAACAGUUGUACUUUGUAAAGUUUAUAGAUUUGUUUAUGAUGUCUGCUGGAUCUUUUUUUUCUUUUUUUGUUAUAUGAUGUUCUUUUUUUCUUUAACUAAUAUAUUUAGUUGAAGUUCUUUUAUCAAGUUGUUGACCAAAUUCAUGCUUCUAUUAUAGGCGAUGAGCUUCUCUCGGACUCGUUUCCAUACAGGGAAAUCCACAAUGGAGUGCUCUGGGAGGUUGAUGGCAAGGUGAGUUGGUUGAUUCUUUGGUUUUAUUUAUUUUCGUUCCCCUCUUGUUGAACUGUCUUUGUAAUUUUAUUAUUAGUUUAACCACUCAUUAGAAAUAUUUAGCUGUGUUUGCAAUGUAAUUUGAAGGUUGAAUGUAUAAGUUUAAGCUUUUUCCUGAUGGGUGUAGUCAAGGUGGUUGUUAUUGAACUUUGUGGUUAUAGGUUUAUUCUGAUAUGGAUCACCUGUAUAAGGUUAAUAUGUUGAUUGUUAUGAAUUGCGUAGUUGAUUUACUGUAAGUUGUUUGAAUGAUUUUUGGUUUGCAGUGGGUUGUUCAAGGAGCUGUUGAUGUAGACAUUGGUGCAAAUCCAUCUGCUGAAGGUGGAGGUGAGGAUGAGGGUGUUGAUGAUCAAGCCGUCAAGGUUGUUGACAUUGUUGACACAUUUAGACUUCAGGUAUGUGGUGCUUACUGUACUGUUGCUCUCCAAGGUUCUUUGUGAGUAGAAAUUGAUUGUUAUUGUCUGAUGCUUGCAGGAGCAACCUCCAUACGACAAAAAGCAGUUUGUCACAUGGGUGAAGAGGUAUAUCAAACUGUUGACACCCAAGUUGGAGGGGGAGGGCCAAGAGGUGUUCAAGAAGAACAUUGAGGCAGCAACCAAGUUUCUGCUUGGGAAGCUCAGCGACCUCCAAUUGUAAGUUUUGUUGAUACUGCGCCCAUGGUGAUUGAUUGUUCCGUAAUCAUAAACUAAUGUCAUGAUCCUAUCAGUUGGGGUUCACUCGUUUCUAUGUUACUCAAAUGAUAUUAACAUUGAAUCGGAUGUUGUUUGCAGCUUUGUUGGGGAGCAUGCAUGAUGAUGGCGGUUUGGUCUUUGCGUACUACAAGGAGGGCGCGACCGACCCAACAUUUAUCUACUUUGGUCAUGGGUUGAAGGAGGUCAAGUGCUAAGCAAUUGGCCGAGAGAGCUCCAAGCAGAAUGCAUGUUGUAAUCCUAGUCUAUAUUAUUGCUUUCUUUACUUUUUAUGUUUAAAAUUGGGGGAUGAGGAGUCUAUUUUUGCUUUGUUUCGUUAGAAUAUUGGCUUUAUGCCUAUCUUGGUUUUAAUGGCUUUUCAACUUGGAUUUCUAAUUUAUGUGGUUCUAAAUUUUGAUUGCGAAAUAACAUUGUGUUCUACAUUUUACCACCUGCAAGUCACUUGCUUUCGUACGCCGUCAAACGGUUGAAGGUGUGAAUUGUUGGAACUGGUAAUAGUUCUAGUUCAUCUUUCAAUUUCACCAUCAAAUCUUUAUAUGUCCCCUUUUCUUCACGCAUUUUCCGGAGGUCUGGAGAGAGCCGCAAUCAUUAGGAUUUUUCUAAUCUUCUUGUGAAAUUUCAUUUUUCCG
rnacentral:lncRNA from 1 species